UCCUGGUUUGAAUUUAACUGUGUGGACGUAUAAAUUAUAUAAAGUGUGUUAAGUUUAAAGCUGAAUAAUGGAGAUAAAGGCUCAAACAGUUUUUUUGAAAAUAGUAUUAUUCGUUUCCUUCGGAUUUUAUCUGUGCGGUGGUACCCGAUGCGAUUCCAACUGCACUGACUGUGACACCAGUGAGUCCUCUGGAUCAUGCCGUAACUGCCGAGACGGCUUCUAUCCAAGCCAGUAUAAUUGUCAACAGGGUACUUAUUCAAAUUGCAAAACAUGUUUUAAUGCGUCAAACUGUGACUCCUGCAAAGACGGUUUUUGGGGUGAAAAAUGUAAUGCAAAAUGUGCAGAAGGGUGUGUUGAUAGAAAAUGCAAUACUGCUAACGGUUUUUGUUCUUGUCUUAGGAACUAUUACGGAAAUAAAUGCGAUGGACUAUGUUCAGACCAUUGCGUUCCUUCCACUUGCUUUGGUGAUACUGGCAAUUGUGUAUGUAAUCAAGGAUAUUUUGGGCCAUCAUGUCGCUCAAGAUGUGGCAAUUAUUGCACCCAUUGUAUAAAUAUUACGUCAUGCUCAUCGUGUGAAACAGGAAAGUUCGAUAGUUCGUGUCAAUUAUUUUGUCAAUGCGAUGGCAAUGCAUGUGAUAUUGUUACCGGAGAGUGUCGUGCUUGUGGAACAGACUGUUUGUCUUGCAAUAAUAAUGUCUGCACUUCAUGUAUGACCGGAAAAUAUGGAAGACGAUGUGAGAAUACGUGCUCGUCUACAUGCUAUGAUGUCUGUGAUAAUCAAGGGAAUUGUCAGUCGUGUUUGUCAGGGUAUUAUGGUCAUCAAUGUGAAUUCGGAUGCAAUUGUGAAUUCGGAUGCGAUCAACUUCAAGGCCAAUGCUUGAAAAAUGCUUGCCCAAAAAACUGUAAUGGUACCUGUGAUGAUUCUUCACAUAGAUGUUAUUCAUGUAAUCGUGGGUAUCACGGACCAUAUUGCAACGUGACGUGCUUUGGUAAAUGUGCUGAUUCACGGUGUUAUACAAAUGGUAGCUGUUUGUCCUGUGAAUCGGGAUAUUACGGAAAAAGUUGCAACAUGUAAUGUCAACAAAUGUGUGAAAGUAAUAAAUGUCGUCAAAAUGAUGGAUUAUGUGAGGUCUGCCCAGCAAACUGUGUAUCAUGUGAGUCCGAAGCCACUUGUGCCGUUUGCCAAGAAUCAAAAUAUGGACACAUCUGCCAUUUAUCUUGCAACGACGAGUGUACAGAUAAAAUGUGCAAUAUCAAAGGAGUAUGUUACAAUUGUUCUGCGUUAUCUGCUUUUGGAAGUUACUGCAACUUAACAUGCAAUCAUAAUUGUUAUUUGUUAACAUGUGAUAGGUACACAGGAGCGUGUAGUAGCUGUAAAAAUAACUCAGUGUUUGGAAUGUUUUGUAAUGAAACAUGUAGUUCGUAUUGUCUUGGUAACGAAUGUAAACGAGAGAAUGGUGUGUGCUUAAACGGAUGCAGAGAUGGAUACUUUGGAACUAUAUGUGAUCAGGAAUGUUCUAAAAGAUGCCGAAAUAAUUCAGGAGUAAUAUGUAAUAUAGACGGUGCAUGUCUUGGAGGCUGCGUUGAAGGAUACUUUGGCAAACGAUGCAAAUCAGACGGCCGUUACCAACAAACUGAAGAAACUAACUCUGGUUCUGUGAUCGGUGGAGCGGUUGGUGGUGUACUUGGCGUGUGUGCUGUCGUAGCGCUAGUGGUGGUUGUCCUGGUAUUGAAGAGAAAGGGGAUUAUUUGGAAGGAGAGCAAGGAGACGUAUGAGGAUAUAUCACCAGGAAGAAGCCAAGAUGAACCCUACACAACAUUGGCAUCUGCGAGCACGACCGAGUACGAAAUACACGAUUCGGAGCCAAGGUCCGAGCUGACCAUCGAAGGUGAAGACAACAGGGUGUAUUACAAUGAUGAGAGGGUCUACUACAAGAAUGUCGGGGGAAAUGUUCAUAAAACAUGAGAAUGUACACAGACAGAUUGAGCAUAUUAAGUGUUUGUAGUAUGUUUCCAGGAGUGUUACCUUUUACAUCAGCGCUAUCGUUGGUUAAUUUUUAACUACAUUAUGAGAGUUCUCAUGUAAACUGCAUAGUCAAAUAAUAAAUUGUUUCGAGUCAUCAAAAUAAUUGUGUAAGUCUAUAAGAACGUCUCGUUUCGACAUUUGUAUAAAAUACCUCAUGCUAUGUUUAUAAAGUUUAUUGAUGCGAAAAUAGUCUCAUUCUUCUGUAUGGAGCCUAGUGGUUGUAAUGAUGCAGUGUUAGCUG